rnacentral:lncRNA from 1 species
GAUCCUUCCCUCAAGUCUCAACCAUGGCUUCCGCUCCCUCUCUCAAAAUUCCCAACCCCUCCUCUCCCGCCGCCUCCGCCACGAGUAGAGACCGUCGCCAUCUUCUCGUCACCAUCCCUUCCACGGUGGCCUCACCGACCUCCCCUCGUCGUAGAUCCGCCUCCCUCGCAGUCGCCUUCGCCGCCGCAUCUGCUAGCGCCGCCUCCAUCAACGGCGGCGGCGUCCCCAAGAUCAACGGCCACCCCCGGAUCAACGGCUUCGAACCCGCCGCCGGCCUCCGCGUAGCCUUCCAGGGCGCCCCCGGCGCCUACUCCGAGUUCGCCGCCAAGACCGCCCUUCUGGGCUGCGACACCCUCCCCUGCCGCGCCUUCGCGGACGCCAUCUCUGCCGUCGAGCGCGGCCUCGCCGAC